CAAAGUUUCUUUAAGCAUAUUUUCUUCCUCUUGGGAAAAAUUCAGUAACACAGAAACAGCCUUAAUAAGAUGGAAUGCCUCAGACUCCCGGCAGGACAUGAAUUUUAGUACAACAUGUUUAAGGUACUCAAAGUUUAUCUCCCUUGAGUCAUUUAAAUCCGAGUUGUUUGUGACAGUCACAGAAGCAUUAGGCACUUCAGAAUUUGUUUUUUCACGUAGUUCAGGUACUUCAC
rnacentral:lncRNA from 1 species